ensembl:Mt_tRNA
GACCUUAUGGUGAAGUUCAUGUUAGAUUGCAAAUCUGAAGAUAUAGAAGCAGUUCUGUUGAGGUCU